UCCCCUAGUAACGGCGAGUGAAGCGGGAAGAGCUCAAAUUUGAAAUCUGGUAGCCUUCGGUUGCCCGAGUUGUAAUCUAGAGAAAUGUUUUCCGUGCCGGCCCAUGUACAAGUCCCUUGGAACAGGGCGUCAUAGAGGGUGAGAAUCCCGUCCUUGACAUGGACCCCCGGUGCUUUGUGAUACAUUUUCAACGAGUCGAGUUGUUUGGGAAUGCAGCUCAAAAUGGGUGGUGAAUUCCAUCUAAAGCUAAAUAUUGGCGAGAGACCGAUAGCGAACAAGUACCGUGAGGGAAAGAUGAAAAGCACUUUGGAAAGAGAGUUAAACAGUACGUGAAAUUGUUGAAAGGGAAACGAUUGAAGUCAGUCAUGCUCUUUGGUAUUUAUAUCAUUGAGUGGGGUCAACAUCAGUUUUGAUCGAUGGAUAAAGGCACUAGGAAUGUAGCACUCUCGGGUGAACUUAUAGCCUAGCGUCAUAUACAUUGAUUGGGACUGAGGAACGCAGCAUGCCUUUAUGGCCGGGAUUCGUCCACGUACAUGCUUAGGAUGUUGACAUAAUGGCUUUAAACGACCCGUCUUGAAACACGGACCUCCUGUGUGAA
rnacentral:rRNA from 1 species